rnacentral:rRNA from 1 species
AUGGCAGGAGGUAGUUCUGCUACAGCAGGUGACGAAGCGAAGGUGAUAACCAUCUUGAGCAUCGACGGCGGCGGCGUGAGAGGGAUCAUCCCGGCCAUCGUCCUCGCCUUCCUUGAAAAAGAGCUCCAGAAACUGGACGGGCCGGAUGCUAGGAUCGCGGACUACUUCGAUGUCGUCGCCGGCACGAGCACGGGUGGCCUCUUGACGGUGAUGCUUGCGGCGCCGGACAAGGAUGGGCUCCCAAAACUCAAGUACAGCGCCAAGGAUGCCGCCAAGUGGGGCAUCUUGAGCUGGCUCAUCAAGGACGGCUCCGUACCCAUCCUCGACAUGUUCAAUGCCGGCAGCGCCGACAUGGUCGACUUCCACCUCUCCGUCCUCUCCGCCGUCCUCGGCACCUCCCACCAAUACCUGCGCAUCCAGUAUGAUAAACUGAGCGGGAGUGCGGGUUCGAUCGACGACUCCUCCAAAGCCAACUUGGAUAGGUUGGUGAAGAUUGGUGAAGAGCUGCUCAGCGAGAAGGUGUCCGGGGUGGACCUGGAGACCGGCCGGAAUGUGGAGGUGCCCGGCGGGGGCACCAACGCGGAGGAGCUAGCUAAGUAUGCAAAGCAGCUCUCCGACAAGCGGCGCAAACGCCGCAACAAUUAA